UCCUAGUCUAAACAGGGCCUAAGAGAAAUUAUUUACACAUCCUAGUCUAAAUGGGGCCUAGAAAAUUAUUUACAUUAAAAGCUUAUAAUUCGCAUCCAACUGCUGCUGAAAAGUUUACUUAAGCAACGAAAUAAUGACUAUUUUCAAGUCGAGAGACGUAUCAAAAAUACAAAAAGCCAGACAAAAAAAAAUAUUAAAAAAUAUCAAAAUAUUUGAAGAAAAGAAAUAAGAAUUUUAAUGAUGAAUAACAAUUUAAUGGACAUUGCGUUUUGUAGAAAUGUGAGUUUUUUGAAAAAUUUUAAUGUUAAACCAUUAAUAAAUUAAUUUUGUAUUUUAGUUUGACAGCGGACAAUGGACAAAUCCAAGAUUUUGGAUGAGAAGACAAAAUAAUUUGGGACAAAUUUAUUUGCCAGCAUUGCUUCCUGGUGAAGCUGAAGACAGGCCACAAAAUGUUCCAGGAACGUUUGUCUUCCCAAAUCUUGGUUUAGUUUAUGACCCUGAACAAAAUGUUACUAGCAGAAGGUUCUUCCGGUUAUUUCGAAGAGAAAGGCCAAGAACAAGAAGAAUUCGAUUUAAUGUAUGUAUUUUUCUUAUUGACAAAUAUUUAAUAUUUUUUUUU